GGAAAUAAAAUAAAACUUUGACAAUGCCCAAUCUCAUCUGAUCUCAGAAGCUAAGCAAGGCCGAGCCUGGUUAGUACUUGGACCACAGGGAAUACCAGGUGCCA
rnacentral:rRNA from 1 species